UUGAACGCUGGCGGCAGGCCUAACACAUGCAAGUCGAGCGGAUGAAGGGAGCUUGCUCCUGGAUUCAGCGGCGGACGGGUGAGUAAUGCCUAGGAAUCUGCCUGGUAGUGGGGGAUAACGUCCGGAAACGGGCGCUAAUACCGCAUACGUCCUGAGGGAGAAAGUGGGGGAUCUUCGGACCUCACGCUAUCAGAUGAGCCUAGGUCGGAUUAGCUAGUUGGUGGGGUAAAGGCCUACCAAGGCGACGAUCCGUAACUGGUCUGAGAGGAUGAUCAGUCACACUGGAACUGAGACACGGUCCAGACUCCUACGGGAGGCAGCAGUGGGGAAUAUUGGACAAUGGGCGAAAGCCUGAUCCAGCCAUGCCGCGUGUGUGAAGAAGGUCUUCGGAUUGUAAAGCACUUUAAGUUGGGAGGAAGGGCAGUAAGUUAAUACCUUGCUGUUUUCACGUUACCAACAGAAUAAGCACCGGCUAACUUCGUG
rnacentral:rRNA from 1 species